GAUUCCUACAUGUUUUUUAAAACAGAUUUCUUUAUUUUAUUUGUAUGGGUGUUUUGCCUUCAUGAAUGUUGUAUACCACAUGUAUACAGUGCCCCCAGAGUCCAGAAGAGAGUGUUGGUGUUAGGUCCUGUAGAACUAGAGUUACAGAUGGUUGUUAGCCCUCAUGUAGGUACUGAGGACUGAACCUCAGUUUUCUGCAAGACCAUUGAGUUCUUUUAACCACUGAGCCUUCUCUCCAGUCCCUCUACAAGACUUCUAGAAUAUCACCUGAUCAUAAUUUAUAGUUGCUAUGUUUAACUAUCAUUUCUCUAGAUUCACUGUUUUAUCAUAUCUACGUAAAAGUUUAUUUUAAGAAGUUGUAUAUAUUUCCUUAAUUGCUUUGUUUGAAUUUAAACAUGUAAAGUCUAAAUAUAUAAUUUCUCAGAAAUUUUAUUAUCCUUUUAUGACAGUACUAAUGUUAAUUCUUUUCUCAUUUUACUAGGAAAAGUGGAUUGAAGUUGCUUCAAUGAAAGUGCCUAGAGCAGGCAUGUGUGUUGUGGCAGUCAAUGGUCUUCUGUAUGUUUCUGGAGGCCGAUCUUCUAGCCAUGAUUUCUUGGCCCCAGGUACUUUGGACUCGGUUGAAGUUUACAACCCUCAUUCAGAUACUUGGACUGAAAUUGGUAAUAUGAUCACUAGUCGUUGUGAAGGGGGUGUUGCUGUAUUGUGACAGCGAAGGCACAGAAGCACAAGGAACAUUUUGAAAAUGUAGGUUCUGAC
rnacentral:lncRNA from 1 species